UAUGUGAUCGUCUCUCGCAUAUCAAUAAGCGGAGGAAAAGAAACUAACAAGGAUUCCCCUAGUAACGGCGAGUGAAGCGGGAAGAGCUCAAAUUUGAAAUCUUAAAGGGUUUCCCUUUACGAAUUGUAGUUUAAAGAAGUGUUUUCUGUUGAGGUUUUGGUAAAAGUUCUUUGGAAUAGGACAUCAUAGAGGGUGAGAAUCCCGUAUUUGACCUUUACUUUCAACUUUGUGAUACACUUUCAAAGAGUCGGAUUGUUUGGGAAUGCAGUCCAAAAUGGGUGGUAAAUUUCAUCUAAAGCUAAAUAUUGGCGAGAGACCGAUAGCGAACAAGUACCGUGAGGGAAAGAUGAAAGGAACUUUGAAAAGAGAGUUAAACAGUACGCGAAAUUGUCAAAAGGGAAGCGUUUGACACCAGUGUUGUUUUUCUGAAAAUCAAUUAAAGAACUGUUUAUGCUAAGUUGUUUAGACUUUAUCAGCUAACUGUUUAGUUUUGAGCUUUUCUUUAAUGCACUUUUCAGUUAACAAGUCAACAUCAAUUUCUUUUGCUGUAAAAAAGCUUGAGGAAGGUGGCUUGAGAUUCGUCUUAAGUGUUUAUAGCCUCUUGCCUAUGCAGUCGGAGAGAUUGAGGUCUGCAGCGUAGAUCCUUCGGGGCUAAAUGCAUUUGUGCUAAGUUAUAACAUUUUAUAGACAACUUGUUGACUAUGAUUUGUCUUGUAGCUUACUCGCUUAUGUUAUUUUACCUACGCUUAGGAUGUUGACACACGCGCGUGCUCG
rnacentral:rRNA from 1 species